AGUGAACGCUGGCGGUAGGCCUAACACAUGCAAGUCGAACGGCAGCACAGUAAGAGCUUGCUCUUACGGGUGGCGAGUGGCGGACGGGUGAGGAAUACAUCGGAAUCUACUUUUUCGUGGGGGAUAACGUAGGGAAACUUACGCUAAUACCGCAUACGACCUACGGGUGAAGGCAGGGGAUCUUCGGACCUUGCGCGAUUGAAUGAGCCGAUGUCGGAUUAGCUAGUUGGCGGGGUAAAGGCCCACCAAGGCGACGAUCCGUAGCUGGUCUGAGAGGAUGAUCAGCCACACUGGAACUGAGACACGGUCCAGACUCCUACGGGAGGCAGCAGUGGGGAAUAUUGGACAAUGGGCGCAAGCCUGAUCCAGCCAUACUGCGUGGGUGAAGAAGGCCUUCGGGUUGUAAAGCCCUUUUGUUGGGAAAGAAAAGCAGCAGGUUAAUACCCCGCUGUUCUGACGGUACCCAAAGAAUAAGCACCGGCUAACUUCGUG
rnacentral:rRNA from 1 species